rnacentral:tmRNA from 1 species
GGGGGCGACCGGUUUCGACAUUUUAGAAUGAAAUCUUAGAUUGCAUGUAGAGCUUAGUAACUCUUAAAACUUCUAAACUAUAUUAAGUGCCGAUAAUGGCCAAAUGGCUUUUGCUUAAUUGCUAAAGUCCAUCAUCAGUAGACGUUUCUCAUCGUUCGCUGAAUGGUGUCAUAAAAAUGAGAUAGUUUAUUUUUCUGCUUCGGUUUAAUAAAUGAAUCCUUAGAAGAUAGCUAUAUGCCUGUUUGUUCUUGUACUGUCAUGUAGUGAACCUUAAUCAAGAAACUAAACAUGUAGAUGUCUAUUUUUUCUCUACUUUGGACGGGAGUUCGAAUCUCCCCGCCUCCACAA